rnacentral:rRNA from 1 species
UGGGGAAUAUUGGACAAUGGGGGCAACCCUGAUCCAGCCAUGCCGCGUGAGUGAUGAAGGCCUUCGGGUUGUAAAGCUCUUUUGGCGGGGACGAUGAUGACGGUACCCGCAGAAUAAGCCCCGGCUAACUUCGUGCCAGCAGCCGCGGUAAGACGAAGGGGGCUAGCGUUGUUCGGAAUUACUGGGCGUAAAGCGAGUGUAGGCGGUUGCCGUAGUCAGGUGUGAAAGCCUUGAGCUCAACUCAAGAAAUGCACUUGAUACUGGGUGACUAGAGGACCGGAGAGGAUAGUGGAAUUCCCAGUGUAGUGGUGAAAUACGUAGAGAUUGGGAAGAACACCAGUGGCGAAGGCGGCUAUCCGGAGCGUUAUCUGACGCUAAGACUCGAAAGCGUGGGGAGCAAACAGGAUUAGAUACCCUGGUAGUCCACGCCGUAAACGAUGGGUGCUAGACGUUGGCGAGCUUGCUCGUCAGUGUCGCAGCUAACGCGUUAAGCACCCCGCCUGGGGAGUACGGCCGCAAGGUUUGAAACUUUAAAGGAAUUGACGGGGGUCAUAGCUGUUUCCU